GCCCUCGGGUGAUUCUGUUGGGGGCGAUUUGGGCUGGUUUUUAGAGUCUUUUCCUAACUCGCUAUCAUUCCACAGGAUUCUAGGUAAAUGGCGUGGGAGCGUGUGCUGGGACCGGCCCGGGGAGAACGCACAUACCUGCUUUGCCGACGAGCGUUCUGCGUUCUGACGGACGGUUUCCGAGGAGCCGGCCGCGCCCGUGGCCCACGCGGACCGGAGGCCUGGGGUUCCGUCUCCAUCGGCCGGUUUUGUAAUAACUUGUCCCGCUUUGUGGAAGCUUCAUUUCGACUCCCAGUGAUUUACACGCGAGCCGAUCAGCACCGACGACCCGGGGCCAGCGUUCCCGGCGCGGGGAGGCGGCGGGGGCCGCCUGCUAGUUUAGCUAGAAGCAAAACCGCGGACGGAGCGCAGCCCUUUGCGGGGUCUCGCGCUGAGUGCGGAGAGGGGAGGCCCGUCCGCAGAAAGGGUCUUUCCUCCUGAGCAUAAUGAAGCAAUUUUCAAAAUCUUUUGCUUUCGCUCACUCAGUUUUAUGUCAAACUUGGCGUGACAACUAGCAACAGAAAUGAAGCCCUGGCCGUGGAGCAGGCAUGUUUGGGGAAUAAAGCACAGAGCGGGGCUCUGCCUCGGCACCCCCCACGCCCCAAUAAAACCCAGACGCUGGCAGGCCGUUUCUGGAUGUCCUUUCAUUUUUAAAAAAAUAUAAAGAACAGACUCUGGGGCCCGCAGCUGACAGUGAUCAGUGGCACGUCCUACGCUCUCCCGACUGACAGCGGCCACUCGGCGCCCUGCAGCCCGUGUCUGUUUCGGAACCUUCUGCGAGCAGCUGUUUGGUCGUAGUUCACACACCUCGGAAGUCCACGCACUCGCUUUCCACGAUGUGUCACCUACGUGUGUAUAUAAAAAAGUCUAACAACCCUGGGAGCAUUCCUAAGAAGUUAAUUAUUAUUUUUCAAAUAAAAGAACAUAAAACAAC